UACCAUUAACUUGAUCUUGAUAUCCUACUUGGAUAACUGUGGUAAUUCUAGAGCUAAUACAUGCACCAAAGCUCCGAUUUUUGACGAGCGCAUUUAUUAGAACAAAACCAAUCGAGCUUCGGUUCGUUUGUUGGUGACUCUGAAUAACUUUUGCUGAUCGCAUGGUCUAGUACCGGCGACAUGUCUAUCAAGUGUCUGCCUUAUCAACUGUCGAUGGUAGUUUAUAUGACUACCAUGGUUGUUACGGGUAACGGAGAAUAAGGGUUCGACUCCGGAGAGGGAGCCUGAGAAACGGCUACCACAUCCAAGGAAGGCAGCAGGCGCGCAAAUUACCCACUCUCAGCACGAGGAGGUAGUGACGAAAAAUAACGGGGCCGUUCUCUUUGAGGCCGGUUACCGGAAUGGGUACAAUCUAAACCCUUUAACGAGGAUCUAUGAGAGGGCAAGUCUGGUGCCAGCAGCCGCGGUAAUUCCAGCUCUCAAAGUGUAUAUCGUCAUUGCUGCGGUUAAAAAGCUCGUAGUUGGAUCUGCGCUUCAGGACUCGGUCCGCCCACUGGACGUGAACUGGGCUCCUUGGCUAGUUGUGUUGGUUUUCCCUUCGUUGCCUUCAUCGGUUGCGUAGGGAGGCUAGCGAGUUUACUUUGAAAAAAUUAGAGUGCUUAAAACAGGCUAGUGCCUGAAUAUUCGUGCAUGGAAUAAUAGAAUAGGAUCUCGGUUCUAUUUUGUUGGUUUUCUGAGCUGAGAUAAUGGUUAAGAGGGACGGACGGGGGCAUUCGUAUCGCUGCGUGAGAGGUGAAAUUCUUGGACCGUAGCGAGACGCCCGACUGCGAAAGCAUUUGCCAAGAAUGUCUUCAUUAAUCAAGAACGAAAGUCAGAGGUUCGAA
rnacentral:rRNA from 1 species